CACUGCUGGGUGAAGCUGAAGAUCUCAAGAUGCGGCUGCCUGCAGCCAGAGCUGGAGGGUGCUAGGACCUGGUGGAGCUGAAUUCCUUUUGCAGGGUAGACAGUGCAUAGGCUAACCCAGAAACAGGGGAAUCCUAGCUGCUGUUUUCCAAGAGGGCUUUCCCAGCACCAAAGGAGACUCCUGCCACCCAAGCGCUGACCGGGGACCUACGCCAGACCAGCUCCUCUCCCUUCAGGGUUUUCCCAGGCUGCAUCUUGCAAGGAGAUGUGACUGGGCAGAGCAGCUUGCUGGGGGCCUCAGAGCCCUAGAAAGUUGCCUGAAGGAGGGGUGUAUGCUCCUUGGUACAACUGGGACCAUGGCAUGUGGGGGCAGUGGGGUCUGUGGAUCUUCUCUGAGACAGCAGG